ACGAAUACAUAACUCCGAGCCAAAAGACCUUCCGUUCCCAUGGGAAUCACGGUCUUCGGCCGAUAGGGUAAUGCGGGAAACUGUAUUGCCUUCCAAACCUUGAGAAGGAGUCUGCAUGAAUGCACGA
rnacentral:ncRNA from 2 species